UGUCCUCUGAAGGGGCGGCGCAUGGGCGUCCCCCGCCCUGCUAGCCCCAUCUCCUUCCCUGUCCCUGCUUGGGCAGGAGGCCCAAGCCCUGACAACAGAGGUGAGAGAGGCUGUGCCAGCCCUUCUCUGGGCAUGUCUGGGCUCAAGGGCCAGGCUCUGUCUCCAGUCUAGGGCCAAGCUGGGGCCUGUGGCAGGAUCAGAUAGAGGCAAAACAUUGAUGAGGCAGGGGGACGGACAAAAUGGGCCUUCCAGAGGUGCUCUCAGACCCUCCCAGCCACACUACAGCCGCAGAGCCCUCCGCUCACAAACCAUCCUGGCCUCAUCAGAACCUGGGGAGGGUUCCUAGUUGUGCAGGGGGUUCCCUGUACGUACCCCUUUCCCUCCAGCACUGGAGCCCGAGUCUCCCGCUGAGCAGGCACCUCUCCCUCCACGCCCAGGCUUCUUAAACCAACCCCUCCUCCCCUUGUCAUUCAUGAACCAGAUGCAGAAACUGAGGCUCAGAAGCGUUCGGCCACGUGCAUGCAUUGCCUUUCCCAUUGGUGCUCCAUCGCCAGUAAUGGAUAAGUAAUAAGUAAUAAGGUGCAUUGGAAAUUCAAAUUUCAGAAUAAGCUGACUGCCAAGAGGGCCCUCCCCCUGUCGGGAGUCCCUUAGUCCAUGGGAAAUUCACAGAGAAGGAAACAGUCACUUUUCCUGCACCUGAGAAGGUGAUUCUGACUCUCCUGGAACCUGAGAACCACCAGUCUACGGGAACAGAGCCCUGCUUUGGGUCAGACGGGGUUUCGCCGGGCUGGUCUCCGCUCCUGACCGCGAGUGAUCCGCCGGCCUCGGCCUCCCGAGGUGCCGGGAUUGCAGAUGGAGUCUCGUUCACUCGGUGCUCAAUGGUGCCCAGGCUGGAGUGCAGUGGCGUGAUCUCGGCUCGCUACAACCACCUCCCAGCCGCCUGCCUUGGCCUCCCGAAGAGCCGAGAUUGCAGCCUCUGCCCGGCCGCCACCCCGUCUGGGAAGUGAGGAGCGUCUCUGCUUGGCCGCCCAUCGUCUGGGAUAUGAGGAGCCCCUCUGCCUGGCUGCCCAGUCUGGAGGGUGAGGAGUGUCUCUGCCCGGCCGCCAUCCCAUCUAGGAAGCGAGGAGCGCCUCUUCCCCGCCGCCAUCCCAUCUAGGAAGUGAGGAGCGUCUCUGCCCGGCCGCCCAUCGUCUGAGAUGUGGGGAGCGCCUCUGCCCCGCCGCCCUGUCUGGGAUGUGAGGAGCGCCUCUGCUGGGCCGCAACCCUGUCUGGGAGGUGAGGAGCGUCUCUGCCCGGCCGCUCCGUCUGAGAAGUGAGGAAACCCUCUGCCUGGCAACCGCCCCGUCUGAGAAGUGAGGAGCCCCUCCGUCCGGCAACCACCCUGUCUGGGAAGUGAGGAGCGUCUCCGCCCGGCAGCCACCCCGUCCGGGAGGGAGGUGGGGGGGGUCAGCCCCCCGCCCGGCCAGCCGCCCCGUCCGGGAGGUGAGGGGCUCCUCUGCCCGGCCGCCCCUACUGGGAAGUGAGGAGCCCCUCUGCCCGGCCAGUCGCCCCGUCCAGGAGGGAGGUGAGGGGGUCAGCCCCCCGCCCGGCCAGCCGCCCCGUCCGGAAGGGGGGGGGGGUCAGCCCCCCGCCCGGCCAGCCGCCCCGUCCGGGAGGGAGGUGGGGGGAUCAGCCCCCCGCCUGGCCAGCCGCCCUGUCCGGGAGGUGAGGGGCGCCUCUGCCCGGCCGCCCCUACUGGGAAGUGAGGAGCCCCUCUGCCCGGCCAGCCGCCCCGUCCGGGAGGGAGGCGGGGGGGGGUCGGCCAGCCGCCCCGUCCGGGAGGGAGGUGGGGGGGUCAGCCCCCCUUCCGGCCGGCCGCCCCGUCCGGGAGGUGAGGGGCGCCUCUGCCCGGCCGCCCCUACUGGGAAGUGAGGACCCCUCUGCCCGGCCAGCCGCCCCGUCCGGGAGGGAGGUGGGGGGGACAGCCCCCCGCCCGGCCGGCCGCCCUAUCCAGGAGGUGAGGGGCGCCUCUGCCCGGCCGCCCCUACUGGGAAGUGAGGAGCCCCUCUGCCUGGCCAGCCGCCCCGUCCGGGAGGGAGGUGGGGGGGACAGCCCCCCGCCCGGCCAGCCGCCCCAUCCGGGAGGUGAGGGGCGCUUCUGCCCGGCCGCCCCUACUGGGAAGUGAGGAGCCCCUCUGCCCGGCCACAACCCCGUCUGGGAGGUGUGCCCAGCGGCUCAUUGGGGAUGGGCCAUGAUGACAAUGGCGGUUUUGUGGAAUAGAAAGGCGGGAAGGGUGGGGAAAAGAUUGAGAAAUCGGAUGGUUGCCGGGUCUGUGUGGAUAGAAGUAGACAUGGGAGACUUUUCAUUUUGUUCUGUACUAAGAAAAAUUCUUCUGCCUUGGGAUCCUGUUGAUCUGUGACCUUAUCCCCAACCCUGUGCUCUCUGAAACAUGUGCUGUGUCCACUCAGGGUUAAAUGGAUUAAGGGCGGUGCAAGAUGUGCUUUGUUAAACAGAUGCUUGAAGGCAGCAUGCUCGUUAAGAGUCAUCACCACUCCCUAAUCUUAAGUACCCAGGGACACAAACACUGCGGAAGGCCGCAGGGUCCUCUGCCUAGGAAAACCAGAGACCUUUGUUCACUUGUUUAUCUGCUGACCUUCCCUCCACUAUUGUCCUAUGACCCUGCCAAAUCCCCCUCUGCGAGAAACACCCAAGAAUGAUCAAUAAAAAAAAAAAAAAUAAAUAAAAAAUAAAGGCACUGAAAAAAAA